UACAGGGGCGAGGAGCAUAAUUCGAACAUUUUUAGAAGUUAUGCCUCGAUUUUAUUUUCGAAGAAGAAAAACAAAAAGACCUCCUUUCAGUUUAGUUUCUUCUGCAGCACUUCCAACGUUCACUUACCAAAAACCCUGAGCGGCGGAGACUGAAGAUUCAAGAACCCGAAACAAAAAACAAAAGUAUAUAUGGAGGAGAAGCUGAAGUGCUUGGUGUUGGUGGGAGCUGGAGCUCUUGCCGGUGCCGUUUCAACCUUCUUUAUUCUUAAGCUUCUUCCAAGAAUUGUUGCAAAUCAGUUGGAUAAAAAGGCUGCCAAAUUGAAUGAGAAAACUGUCAAAUGCCGGAUUGAUUCUGGAAACGGAAAUUUUGGGAUGUCUGGCUUGAACCUUCUAGCAGAUGAAAUAGUUUCCGAACAACUGACUAGGAACAUUCAGUUCUUUGGCCUUGACUCUCAACAAAAGGUUACAACAUCCUAUGUUGUAGUCAUUGGUCUUGGAGGUGUUGGAAGUCAUGCUGCAUCUAUGCUUUUGAGAUCAGGAGUUGGCAAGCUCCUAUUGGUGGACUUUGACCAGGUAUCACUUUCAUCAUUAAAUAGACACGCUGUUGCAACACGAGCAGAUGUUGGUAUCCCAAAAGCUGAGUGCCUCAAGAAGCAUUUUUCUUCAAUCUUCCCUGAGUGCCAAAUAGACGCGAAGGUGCUACUGUAUGAUGUGUCAUCUGAAGAAGAAAUUCUUUCUGGCAACCCUGAUUUUGUUUUGGACUGCAUUGAUAACAUUGACACAAAGGUGGCGCUUCUUGCUGCAUGUGUACGCAGAGGUUUGAAGGUACUGUCUGCUACAGGAGCUGGAGCAAGAGCUGACCCAACAAGAAUUCGUGUGGCUGAUUUAAGAGAGUCAACGAAUGAUCCGUUAUCUAGAGCUGUGAGACAUCGUUUAAGGAAAGAUUAUGGCAUUGAAGGUGGAAUUCCUGUUGUUUUCUCUAUAGAGAAACCUAAAGCUAAGCUGCUUCCUUUUAGGGGGCCAAGUGGUGAAGAAGAGAACCCUUCAGAUUAUCAAAUAGUACCAGGGUUUAGGGUCCGCAUCAUACCUGUUCUGGGUACCAUCCCUGCAAUUUUUGGACAGGUUAUGGCCUCCUAUGUCGUUACACAACUUGCAGGAUUGCACAUUCAAACAGAGCCAGUGGUAAAUUUAGAUGUAGAUCAUUACCAGAUGCUUCUUCAACGGCUUAUUGAGCAUGAGGAGUCUUUGUUUGGUUCAGCCAUGCAAGUCCAGGUUGAUGUUGAGGAAGUGAGGUACAUUGCGAAAGAGUUGUGGCAUGGGAGAAGUGCAAGAGAGCUGUCUGCAAAAGAUGUGGGGCGUGGAAUGUGGCGAUCUGUUAAUGAGUUGAUGCUUGUGAGAUGGGACCAGGCAAAGCCAGCAUCUGUAUCAAAUUUAAUUCUUUUAAAGUUUAAAGAGGCUGAUGAACAUGAGCUGAGGACUCUUGAUGAUAUCAAAGAAAAGGAACCAGAAUUUUUCAAAAGGGUGACAUCUGUGCUGAAGCGAGCUGAACAAGACUUUGGCUUGUAAUUUGCACAAUUAGCUGAAUGCUUUAUGGCUUUAUUUCAUGCAAACACAAGUUUGGUUGUGGUUGAGUUUUGCUUCAUUGGAUUUUCUUUGAGCUGUUUCCGACGAAAGUGAUGGAUGAUUUUGCUUGUUGGUGCAUAUUAAGGAUAUGGGUUUGGAGUUUGUGGUGAAAUGAAGGUGCUGCUGGUCUCAAGCAUUGGGUUUCAAUGGAAAUUGCUGCCCUUGAAGAUAUCAGGUGAAAUUUAACGUUGUAAGAGUACCACAUGCUCGAAGUUCUUAGUCUCACUUUUCUCAUUUGCUGGAAGGACCUAAUGAUAUACUUGUUAGAAGAUUUUUUUUUUUUCAAAAAUUGGAAGAUGAAGAUCUUUAGCCAAAAUUUAGUAUUAAUACACGGAUUGAUGGUGUUAUUCAGCCUGUUUAGCAUGAUGAAUUGGGAAAAGUAUUCUCUAUAGUUCCAUUAUAUCCUUGGUAAUCAAAUCUCUCUCUCUCUCUCUUUGAAGAGGUGAAGGAAGAGGGAUUUAGAAGAGAUGAUGCUGAUAUGCAGCUUAUGUUCUGUUCUGGGGAAACCUGUCUUGAAGACAAUUAGGCUACUGUAGUGAACUUUUAGCACUGCUUGGUUAAAGUACACAUUCCUGUAUUAGAGCAAAAAGUGUAUUUUAUUCCAUCCCAAUUUUGACUAAUUUAGUCUCCUGCUUUGGCAUUUGUGAUGAGCCAAGGUUAAUUGAUAGCACUUUCAAAGGGAACUGUUAUUUAUUGAUGACGAUGUGGUUAUAAGAUGGUA